CCAUGUGCAGCCCAGUACAAACUGGGAGCAUCCUAUGUCCAUCCCAGUGUAGACUGGGAGCAUCCUAUGUCCAUCCCAGUUCAAACUGGGAGCAUCCCCAUGUCCAUCCCAGUACAGACUGGGAGCAUCCCAUGUGCAGCCCAGUUCAAACUGGGAGCAUCCCCAUGUCCAUCCCAGUUCAAACUGGGAGCAUCCCCAUGUGCAGCCCAGUUCAAACUGGGAGCAUCCGAGUGUCCAUCCCAGUACACACUGGGACCAUCCCCAUGUGCAGCCCAGUACAGACUGGAAGCAUCCCCAUGUCCAUCCCAGUACAAACUGGGGGCAUCCCCAUGUCCAUCCCAGUUCAAACUGGGAGCAUCCCAAUGUCCAUCCCAGUACAGACUGGGAGCAUCACCAUGUGCAGCCCAGUACAAACUGGGAGCAUCCCAUGUCCUUCCCAGUUCAGACUGGGAGCAUCACCAUGUGCAGCCCAGUACAGACUGGGAGCAUCCCAGUGUCCAUCCCAGUACAAACUGGGAGCAUCCCAGUGUCCAUCCCAGUACAAACUGGGAGCAUCCCCAUGUGCAGCCCAGUACAAACUGGGAGCAUCCCCAUGUGCAGCCCAGUGCAAACUGGGAGCAUCACCCAGUCCAUCCCAGUUCAAACUGGGAGCAUCCCCAUGUGCAGCCCAGUACAGACUGGGAGCAUCACCAUGUGCAGCCCAGUUCAAACUGGGAGCAUCACCCAGUCCAUCCCAGUUCAAACUGGGAGCAUCACCAUGUGCAGCCCAGUACAAACUGGGAGCAUCCCAUGUCCACCCCAGUUCAUACUGGGAGCAUCCCAUGUGCAGCCCAGUUCAUACUGGGAGCAUCCCCAUGUCCAUCCCAGUACAAACUGGGAGCAUCCCAAUGUCCAUCCCAGUUCAAACUGGGAGCAUCACCCAGUUCAUCCCAGUACAAACUGGGGGCAUCCCAUGUCCACCCCAGUUCAUACUGGGAGCAUCCCAGUGUCCAUCCCAGUACAGACUGGGAGCUGGGAGCAUUCCCAUGUCCAUUCCAGUUCAAACUGGGAGCAUCCCAAUGUCCAUCCCAGUUCAAACUGGGAGCAUCCCAAUGUCCAUCCCAGUUCAAACUGGGAGCAUCCUCAUGUGCAGCCCAGUACAAACUGGGAGCAUCCCCAUGUGCAGCCCAGUGCAAACUGGGAGCAUCCCAUGUCCAUCCCAGUUCAAACUGGGAGCAUCACCAUGUGCAGCCCAGUACAAACUGGGAGCAUCCCAUGUCCACCCCAGUUCAUACUGGGAGCAUCCCAGUGUCCAUCCCAGUACAAACUGGGAGCAUCCCCAUGUCCAUCCCAGUUCAAACUGGGAGCAUCACCAUGUGCAUCCCAGUUCAUACUGGGGGCAUCCCAAUGUCCAUCCCAGUACAGACUGGGAGCAUCCCCACGUCCAUCCCAGUACAGCCUGUGGUCUGGGAGCAUCCCCCAUUUGCAUCACAACCCACUGCAGGUCGGCUCAUUUCCAGGCACGCAGCACAGCGAGGCAGCAGCACCACCUAGCGGGGAGCAGCACCACGCUGCAUGCAUCCCAUAAUACCACUCUGCACCACUGCUGCACUGCUGGGACGGAUGCAUCCCAUAACCCCACCCUGCAUUCACACUGCGGUGGUGGGACACAUCCCAUAAUACCACCUUGCACAUCCCAUAAUCCCACCCUGCAUUCACACUGCAGUGCUGCAACACAUCCCAUAAUACCACCCCGCAUUCAUGGGACGCAUCCCAUAAUCCCACCCUGCAUUCACACUGCAGUUCUGGGACGCAUCCCAUAAUCCCAC
rnacentral:lncRNA from 1 species